CCUACGGGUGGCUGCAGUGGGGAAUAUUGCACAAUGGGCGAAACCCUGAAGCAGCGACGCAGCGUGAAUGAAGAAGGAUUUCGGUAUUUAAAGCUCUAUCAGCAGGGGAGAAAAGUACAGUAUCUAAUUAAGAAGCCCCGUCUAACUACAGGCAGGCAGCCGCAGUAAUACGUAGGCAGCAACCGUUAUCCGGAUUUACUGAGUGUAAAGGGAGCGUAGACGGCAGCAUAAGUCUGUAGUGAAAUUUUGGGGCUCAACCGUGGAAUUGCAUUUGAUACUGUGAAGCUAGAGUGCAGUAGAGGUAAGCGGAAUUCGUAGUGUAGCGGUGAAAUGCGUAGAUAUUAGGAGGAACACCAGUUGCGAAGGCGGCCUACUGGACUGUAACUGACGUUGAUGCUCGAAAGUGUGGGGAGCAAACAGGAUUAGAUACCCUGGUAGUC
rnacentral:rRNA from 1 species